GCUUUUUUAUUUCUAACAGACAAUCUUCUUCUUUUCAUGAGAAGAUGAAUGCUAGAAUGCCUGAUCCAUCAUUAGAACAAGAUUCUACAGUCUGGGGCACUAAGGGUGCUUCACUGUCAGGAGGGAAAGUAUUAGAUAAAUACAGUAUUUUAACUCCUCGGGAGAAAUCUAUAAUAGCUGAGUGUCAGGAUGAGGGAUUCUGGUUCAGGUUACACGUUUAUAUUUCGUAGUUUUUUGAAUUAUUAGGCUUUUCGGCGCUUCGCGACCAUUAUCUUUUACAAUUUGAA